rnacentral:rRNA from 1 species
UACGUAGGGGGCAAGCGUUGUCCGGAUUUAUUGGGCGUAAAGAGCGUGUAGGCGGCUAGAUAGGUCCGUUGUGAAAACUCGAGGCUCAACCUCGAGACGUCGAUGGAAACCAUCUGGCUAGAGUCCGGAAGAGGAGAGUGGAAUUCCUGGUGUAACGGUGAAAUGCGCAGAUAUCAGGAAGAACACCCGUGGCGAAGGCGGCUCUCUGGGACGGUACUGACGCUGAGACGCGAAAGCGUGGGGGAGCGAACAGG